rnacentral:lncRNA from 12 species
GAGAAAUAUACCUCUGCCUUUCUUCCCAACUGUCACUCUUUGAGCUGAGCAGUUCAUAGUUGAUAUUGAGUGAGUUGUCAGCUCUCUACCCAGCGUCUUUGACAAUGGACAACCUCAAUUGUUGCUGCUGCAAUGAUGUUGCCAAGGCUGUGGUGCCAGAUUUUGUCCACCGAAACUCAGAUGGAUACCUGGAUACCUUCAAGCAGCUGCUUGAAACACAAACCUCAAUGAGGCUAAGUUUUGACAUGAAGGAGGGGAGGGAAUUUCCUGAGCAUCUAUCUAAAGAGAUUUCUGGGGGGAAGAAAUGUACAUUGGGUAUAGGGAGGCUUAACACUCCUUGGAGGUGCAGAAAUGGACAGUGACAAAUGUCACUGAGAAAGGUAGGGUACUUUAUACUAUGGCUACAAAGAUUGGCUCAUAUUGUGUCCAUUUGUUUCUGGAUGUUGUUUGGGCAAGUUACAUAUAUCAAAACUCAGAGAACAUAAGCUGUAGGGUUAGGGAGCUGAUUUACUAGUGAGGAAAGUUGAAUUGAAGCAGGCAAGAACACAAAUUGUUCAAAGAGGUCACUAAGAUAAACCCUAAGACAGAUUCUGAAGGCUAAGUGCUGUGAAGAACACUGAGUUGGUCAGGCCAAUCAGGCUGGCAAAGAGCAAAUUGGACAGAUCAUCCCCUCUGGACUCCAUCCAGGACCCAAAACAUCACAACAGGACUUAUAUAUAAAGUACAGAUAAAUUGGGUUUAUAUUUAAGUUCCAGAAAAAAAAUUUCAUUAUACCACUUCAGGAAACCCCUGCCUAAGCAGUCCCAGCCUGGCUUAAAAAUACUUUCAUUUGCCUAAACAUGGGGUGAAAAACAAAACUACAUCUUUUUAUUUUAAAGUUUUUAUCUCCCUAUUUAGAAAUAAUUCAAAGUACAGAGAGCAGAACUAACUAUAAAUGAAUUCUCUAGUGUUAAAAUUCUGCAUACGACAAAAUAUGAUCAAUAUACUAAAUAUCUGUCCAAAUACAUAGAAUGUACAACAUGAGUGAACCAUAAUGUAAAUUAUGUACUUUGACGUGUCCAUAUAAGUUCAUCAUUUGUAACAAAGGAACCACUCUGGUGGGGGGUGUUAGUAACAGGAGAGGUUAUGCCUUUGUAAAGAAAUAUUUCUCUACCUUCCCCUCAAUUUUGCUGUGAUGCUAAGAUUGCUCCAAAAAAUGUUUUAAUUUUAAAACACAAAAAAAUACAAAAUAACAGAUCCUUCUUGGUUUUGAAAAUGGAGCAUUUCAGUAUGGUGUGAAAAAAACUAAAGAAAAUAAGGAUGGGGGGCUGAAAACUGACAUAACUGCCUCCAGGAUAAAGACAAAUAAAAUCUGUACAAAACGAAAUAUUGCUGAGAAA